rnacentral:lncRNA from 1 species
GCGAAGUGACCGCUGGGAGGCCGUGCAGGUAAGAAGGGGUGGAGCUGGGGUUGAGCUGCUGAUUUCCCCUCAUUUCACUCGCUCAUCACCAGGUCCAGCGGACAGAGCUCUGAGCUGGUUGUCGGGAGGCCUGGGCUCUUGGCCCAGGCUCUGGUUCCAGCUGGGCAGCUCGCCUUCCUCGUUUGGGGCUGACUCCUUCCCACCGUGCAGUGGGCCAAGAUCCCUCUCUGUCCUGCCAACCUCCCAGAUUGUCACGGACACCAAAUGACCUUGCAUCCGUCGGAUGGGGAUGUGCCUGAGUAACACCGUGUGGGAACCCGAGAGGCCAGAGCGGCACCUAGGCCCUUGCUGGGAGUCUGGGCUCAGAGGCCCAUGGUCACACUGUUCUUCCCAGAGCUGAGUCCCCAUAGGACACCAGUGGGGAGAGUCAUUUACAGGAUCCAGUCCUGUGUUCUUUAUCUGGAGGAACUUUGCGGUUCAGAAAUCCCCUGGAAAUUGCAUACACAGUUUUCUGCAUCUGGGAAGGAGAACCCAUCUCUUUCAGUCGAGUCCCAGAGGGGGUCCUCCGUGUGCAAGACGUUUGGACCAUAACCUCUCUCCCCUCGGUGUAUGGGUGGGACGAGGUGCAGAGACUAGAAGAGGCUUGUCCCGGGUUGCCUGACUCCCGGGCGUCCGCAGGGAGGCAGUAUCACCCAGCGUUUGAGAGGCUGGCCCGGACUCAGACCCGCCGCCUCUCCAGGUCCUGUGUACUGCUCUGGGCUCCUCACUCAACUUCUUGGACCUCAGAGCCCCUAAGGAUGACACAAGAGAGAGAGGGUAAUCACAGCCUCCUUCUGUGAUUACUGAGUGUGGAUAUGUGUUCCCGGGGUGUGGGAAGCUCUUCCCAGAGACCAAACUGUGGUCAGAGGCCUACCCUUUCUGAAUGCAGUGGGGUCAGCGCCCCUUAGUCCCCGUUAGCGGUCACGGUUUACUCAGCUCAUCCACUGGUGAGGUCAGGGGCUCUUGCGUCAGGAGACUUCAGGCCUCUCAGAAGCCUGGUUAGAUAUUCAGAGCCCAGGUGCUGAAGCCAGACCAUGAUGCCAGCCUCCUGAAUCCCCACAGUCUGUCCGCUAGGCUAUGGUUAUCCCUGGGCUUGUCUGCAGUGCUCAGGGUCACGCAGACACGGCCACAGCUCUCCUGGCCUGUGCCUGAGCGAGGCAACUGUCCCCCAGGAUGGUGCGGAGCCCCAGCACCUCCCACCUGCUGGUUCUGGGCUGGUCUCUCAGAGAUCCGAGGACCUCCACCCCACCCCUGCCCCCAGCCCUCCCACCCUCUGUGUGAGGAUGUACAGUGGCUGAGCAGGGAGAGUGCAGUCAGGACACCAGUAAUCCACCCCCCACCCCACACCUCCUGGUGAAACUGGGCUCCUCAGCUGCCCCCACCCAUCCUCACCAUUUCUGACAUUCUCCUGAAGAGCCCAUGGGACUCUCACUUUGCCGGGUUGUUGGUAUAAUAAAACCUUUUAAAAAAUUACCCUCUGAUCUUUU